rnacentral:rRNA from 1 species
AACGAACGCUGGCGGCGUGUUUAAGACAUGCAAGUCGCACGGGAUAAGACAUGUAGUAAUACUUGUUUUAUUUAGUGGCGCACGGGUGAGUAACACGUGAAUUACAUGCCCUAUAGUGGGGAAUAGCCCAGGGAAACUUGGAUUAAUACCCCAUGGUAUCGAAAGAUUAAAGGUGGCCGCAAGGCUGUCGCUAUAGGAUUGGUUCGCGCCCUAUCGGCUUGUUGGUGAGGUAACGGCUCACCAAGGCAAUGACGGGUACCUGGUCUGAGAGGACGGUCAGGAACACUGGAACUGAGACACGGUCCAGACACCUACGGGGGGCAGCAUUCGGGAAUAAUUCACAAUGGGGGCAACCCUGAUGGUGCAACGCCGCGUGGAGGAUGACGGUCUUCGGAUUGUAGACGCCUGUCAUCUGGGAGAAAGACCUGACAGUAAAUAGCCGGCAGGGUUGAUAGUACCAGAAGAGGAAGGGACGGCUAACUUCGUGCCAGCCGCCGCCGUAA